rnacentral:rRNA from 1 species
AUUGAACGCUGGCGGCAUGCCUUACACAUGCAAGUCGAACGGCAGCACGGGUGCUUGCACCUGGUGGCGAGUGGCGAACGGGUGAGUAAUACAUCGGAACGUACCUUAUCGUGGGGGAUAACGCAGCGAAAGCUGUGCUAAUACCGCAUACGCCCUGAGGGGGAAAGCGGGGGAUCGAAAGACCUCGCGCGAUUAGAGCGGCCGAUGCCUGAUUAGCUUGUUGGUGGGGUAAAAGCCCACCAAGGCGACGAUCAGUAGCUGGUCUGAGAGGACGAUCAGCCACACUGGGACUGAGACACGGCCCAGACUCCUACGGGAGGCAGCAGUGGGGAAUUUUGGACAAUGGGGGAACCCUGAUCCAGCAAUGCCGCGUGAGUGAAGAAGGCCUGGUGUAAGCUCUUUGUCUAGGAGAAC